UCCAUUAAAGUUUGCCUCCAAACACAAAACUCAAACAUUUUGUGGUCCACUUGUUAAAGCAUGCUUACUUAACUACUAUUUGUUUACAUUAAUUGUAAAUAGCCUAAGUAACCUGGCGCGCGCUUGUGUAACAUUGCAUCGUUACACAAGUGCAGCAAUUGUUUGCGUUCGUGGUCGCGCGGACUCCCGUGCGUUUAAUUUGGCGUCAUUUUAUCCAAAGCAGAAUGGGAGAUAUGUCUUCCCAGGUGCUAAUACCAUCUCCGGAGGAAGCUCUGCGGGGAAGGGAGCAGAGCAUGAAAGUGUCAGCUAAGCACGAUGUGAACAGUAACAGGACAAUGCCACCAUUCCCAGAGGGAUUGCAAAAGGUCUUAUUUGAGAGGAAGUUCUGGAGGCAGAAAGGGGUCUACUUGACUCAAGUGGGCUACUCUGGGGGUUACAACCCAAACCCUACCUAUGAAAAGACUUGAACAGCAGGAGGGCUGUGGCUGAAAGCAGAACUGGUGUGCAGUGCAGUGUGCUGAAAGCUCAGAGGGAGCUGUCCAGUGGCCGGUGCUGAAAUGAAAGCUAGCGCUGAAAUUUUUGCCUACACUCCUGUUGUUGCCACUCUCUCCUGCUCGUCUAUGGGUUUUGAAUGGUGGCAUCCCUUUAAAAUGAGUAACUCACUAAAUUUGAGAAGAAAUGUAAAGUCUCUGGUAAAAUUACUACCCUUCUGCCAUCUUGCCUGGUAAUGAAAAUAACCCCACAGGUUAGUCCUUUAUUACUUUUUUAAUAUCAAAGCUAUAUAGAUUCACAAGAGAUAACAGAGAAGACUGAAGCUGAGAUUAUUAAGCUCUUUGAUAAUAAAUUAAUGAUAGAAGAUAUGGAAUUGGAAUUUAGUUUUUUAGUUUUGAAGUUCCAUUCAAUUAACUAGCUUUCCUUAUGUUUGUCCAUAUAAGCACUCAAAUUACCAUAAACGUACAGACACAUCCUUGUGAAAAAAAUUUUAACAAUGUCAUUUCAAUAAUAAAAAAAGAAUAAUAAUAAUAAUUAAAAAACAGACAUAUUUUUUAAAUAGUUCCAUUCCCAGGGAAUGCGCAGAUAAAAUGUAUACCUUAAAAUAUUAUUUA